AUUGGUCUGAACAAGAUAAUAUUGGUCCGGAAAGCAUUUUUAGUUUAUAAUUUAGUUUGUAUAUGCGCUUUUUAAUAUUAUCGCGUAAGAUGAACUGUUUCAAAACAUUUUUAUUUAUUUAACUAUAAAAAAAUACCAUGAUAGAGCUUUGGAUAGCGAAAAAAGAGUAAUUAUAAAAGAAGCUUCGAAGUUUUUUGUUUCUGAAAGAGUUAUUAUACAAGUAUAAAAUGAAAGAUAAGGAACAUUUUCUGCGAUUCAUCAUAAAUCUGAUAAAAGAAAAAAAAUACUAGAAGCUUGCGAUGUUUAUCCUACUUCUGGUCAUAUGGGGAGACCAAAAACAUUGUGCAGGAUUAAAAAACGUUUUAUAUGGCACGGAAUGGUUAAAAAUGUACAAGAAUUGCUUACAUGUUGCGAUGUAUGCCAGAGAAUGAAUCGAAAAUUUAACUGUGGAAUACCAGAGAUACACCCAAUAAAGGUUAAGGCUCCUUGAUAUAUGGUUAGCAUAGAUUUUAUUGGCACACUCAGUCCAGUUAAUGAAGAUGGUAGCAAAUAUAUUUUAACCAUUAGUGACUAUUUUUCAAAAUGAAAAGAGGUAAUACAAACAAAAGAUAAAAUGGCAUCUUUAGUGGCAAGAUGUCUAUUCAAGGUACUACAUUUUUACUUGCAAUUUUUAACACGAAAAAAGAUGAAGAAGUAAAGUAAGGCGCAUAUUUUGGUGGUAUCCUGCGAUGCCAAGGAUUCACCCAAAGUAUUUUAACAAUAUAUAAAUAAACCGUCUUAAUAACUUCAAAAAAAUUAAAUUAUUUUACUAAAAUUAUACAAAAAUUUGUGUGU